GACAGAGGGUGCAAACGUUGUUCGGAAUUACUGGGCGUAAAGCGAGUGUAGGCGGUUCGAUAAGUCGGAUGUGAAAGCCCCGGGCUCAACCCGGGAAGUGCACUCGAUACUGUCGAGCUAGAGUAUCGGAGAGGUUGGUGGAAUUCUCGGUGUAGAGGUGAAAUUCGUAGAUAUCGAGAGGAGCACCGGUGGCGAAGGCGGCCAACUGGACGAAUACUGACGCUGAGACUCGAAAGCGUGGGGAGCAAACAGG
rnacentral:rRNA from 1 species